GGGAAGCGAGCGUACACAGGUGCUGCAUGGCUGUCGUCAGCUCGUGUCGUGGGAUGUUCGGGUUAAGUCCCGCAACGAGCCGCAACCCCUGCAUCCAGUUGCCAUCGGGCGAGCCGGGCACUCUGGAGGGACUGCCGGCGACAAGCCGGAGGAAGGUGGGGAUGACGUCAAGUCAUCAUGGCCCUUAUGUCCAGGGCGACACACGUGCUACAAUGGCCGGCACAGCGGGAAGCGGAGGGGCGACCCUGAGCGGAUCCCUUGAAAGCCGGUCCCAGUUCGGAUUGCAGUCUGCAACUCGACUGCAUGAAGUUGGAAUCGCUAGUAAUCGCGGAUCAGCCAAGCCGCGGUGAAUACGUUCCCGGGCCUU
rnacentral:rRNA from 1 species